AGCCGAUCUCAGUUCGGAUUGCAGGCUGCAACUCGCCUGCAUGAAGUCGGAAUUGCUAGUAAUCGCGGAUCAGCAUGCCGCGGUGAAUACGUUCCCGGGUCUUGUACACACCGCCCGUCACACCACGAGAGUUUACAACACCCGAAGUCGGUGGGGUAACCCGCAAGGGAGCCAGCCGCCGAAGGUGGGGUAGAUGAUUGGGGUGAAGUCGUAACAAGGUAGCCGUAUCGGAAGGUGCGGCUGGAUCACCUCCUUUCUAAGGA
rnacentral:rRNA from 1 species